rnacentral:rRNA from 1 species
UACGAAGGUGGGCAGCGUUGGUCGGAUUUACUGUGCGUACAGGGAGCGUAGGCGGUUCGGUACGCCCUUUGUGAAAUCUACAGGCUUAACCUGGAACAGUCGGAGGGGACUGCCGGGCUAGAGGGCGGGAGCGGAGCGCGGAAUUCUCGGUGUAGCGGUGAAAUGCGUAGAGAUCGGGAGGAAGGCCGGUGGCGAAGGCGGCGCUCUGGAACGUUUCUGACGCUGAGGAUCGAAUGCGUGGUGAGCGAACAGG